GGCAGUAAAGGGAGGGAGAAACCACAAUUUGCCCACAUUUCCACAGCAGUCCGACACCGAGGCGCUUCCCAGUCGAGCUCCGUGGUCCGAAACAAGCAGAAAGCUUUUUAUUUUGACCCGUUUGGUUGAGCCGGGUGGGGGAAAACUCCUGAAAUAUCCCCGGGACCUGGCUUGUUUGCCGUUGAUUCCUGCGGACGCCUGCGCGCAGGAACAGCUGAGGGGGAUAUAAGUUAUUUCCAGCAGAUCAGCGGAUCAGGAGAGCCUGGAAGAUGGGUUCACUCCCUGCGAUUUCUGCCCUGGUUUUGGGCAUUGUGGUUCCAGCCCUGGCCGGAUACAUUGAGUCUCUUGCUACCAACUGCG